rnacentral:rRNA from 1 species
GACGAACGCUGGCGGCGUGCCUAAUACAUGCAAGUCGAACGCAUUUUCUUUCACCGUAGCUUGCUACACCGAAAGAAAAUGAGUGGCGAACGGGUGAGUAACACGUGUGUAACCUGCCCAUCAGCGGGGGAUAACACUUGGAAACAGGUGCUAAUACCGCAUAAUUCCAUUUACCGCAUGGUAGAUGGAUGAAAGGCGCUUUUGCGUCACUGAUGGAUGGACCCGCGGUGCAUUAGCUAGUUGGUGGGGUAACGGCCUACCAAGGCUGCGAUGCAUAGCCGACCUGAGAGGGUGAUCGGCCACACUGGGACUGAGACACGGCCCAGACUCCUACGGGAGGCAGCAGUAGGGAAUCUUCGGCAAUGGACACAAGUCUGACCGAGCAACGCCGCGUGAGUGAAGAAGGUUUUCGGAUCGUAAAACUCUGUUGUUAGAGAAGAACAAGGAUGAGAGUGGAAAGUUCAUCCCUUGACGGUAUCUAACCAGAAAGCCACGGCUAACUACGUG